rnacentral:sRNA from 1 species
CUGAAAAGCUAGAACAAGCAGAAAAUCAGUUGGUCCAUUUCUACCAAAAGAUCAAGGGCAUAUAAUGGCGGAAGGUUUAAAAAUCUCGUAGAGAAGAAAAUUGAUGCCAAGUUUGCUGCUGGCCUCCUAGCAUCCAAGGAAGCACAAGAGGAGAUUUUAAACUGAGAGGCUAAUCCCAAUGAAGUUCGAGGGAAGUUGCAGUUCAUCGAAUGUCUUUCUAGUAUGAAUUGGGCAACACGUAAAGCAAUAGCUGAGGCAUUAAGUUCAUUGGCAUUGCAUUCAGUUUGGUUGCUGAUAAAUCAGUACCUACACUAGCAGUACUUGAGGCUUGCCGAUUUGACAAGGUAGCAUUUGUAGUGAGAUUUCCUAAUUAUAACUUGUUAUCAGUUAUUGUAAUUCUUAUUUUAUUUAAAUAUUGUGUUUCUAAGAAGGAAUUAAUUCAACAAGGAGUAUGUUUCGUAAGUCCAAUAACUUAGUUACUAACUUAUUUAUAUGUAGUGAUCUAGUUGACUGGUUAGGCGUUAAGGAAAUUGGACUCUUCAAUUUCAAGCCAAGUGUGAGGCCUGUACCUUUGGAAGUUCAUAUUCAGGUACGUGGAUUUGGUGUUUCGG